rnacentral:rRNA from 1 species
UACGGAAGGGGCAAGCGUUGUUCGGAAUCAUUGGGCGUAAAGGGCGCGUAGGUGGUUCUGUAUGUCUACCGUGAAAGCGUACGGCUCAACUGUAUUUUGUCGGUGGAAACUGCAGGACUUGAGGCUGGGAGGGGCUGGUGGAAUUCCCUGUGUAGCGGUGAAAUGCGUAGAGAUGGGGGAGAACACUCGUGGCGAAGGCGGCUCUCUGGGACGGUACUGACGCUGAGACGCGAAAGCGUGGGGAGCAAACAGG